AUUGAACGCUGGCGGCAGGCCUAACACAUGCAAGUCGAGCGGAUGAAGGGAGCUUGCUCCUGGAUUCAGCGGCGGACGGGUGAGUAAUGCCUAGAAACCGCCCGGGUGGGGGGGGAAACGUUCGGAAACGGGGGGCAAAUACGGAAACGGUCCGGGGGGGGAAGGGGGGGGUCCUUGGGACCUAACGCAUCAGGUGGACCCUAGGUCGGAUUAGCUAGUUGGUGGGGUAAAGGCCUACCAAGGCGACGAUCCGUAACUGGUCUGAGAGGAUGAUCAGUCACACUGGAACUGAGACACGGUCCAGACUCCUACGGGAGGCAGCAGUGGGGAAUAUUGGACAAUGGGCGAAAGCCUGAUCCAGCCAUGCCGCGUGUGUGAAGAAGGUCUUCGGAUUGUAAAGCACUUUAAGUUGGGAGGAAGGGCAGUAAGUUAAUACCUUGCUGUUUUGACGUUACCAACAGAAUAAGCACCGGCUAACUUCGUG
rnacentral:rRNA from 1 species